rnacentral:rRNA from 1 species
UACGAAGGGGGCUAGCGUUGCUCGGAAUGACUGGGCGUAAAGGGCGCGUAGGCGGCUUGCACAGUCAGGCGUGAAAUUCCUGGGCUCAACCUGGGGACUGCGCUUGAGACGUGUGGGCUUGAGUGGGGAAGAGGGUCGUGGAAUUCCCAGUGUAGAGGUGAAAUUCGUAGAUACUGGGAAGAACACCGGUGGCGAAGGCGGCGACCUGGUCCUUGACUGACGCUGAGGCGCGAAAGCGUGGGGAGCAAACAGG